rnacentral:tRNA from 1 species
GCGGGGAUGCCGGAGUGGUCAAACGGGACAGGCUUAGGACCUGUUAGCUUAGUGCUUACGUGGGUUCAAAUCCUACUCCCCGCA